AUUAACUUAAGAAUAUUUUUGGAAAGUAACAAAUGUUUGGUUUUGUUUACAGUAGAUACAACAAUGAAUUAAAAUUAUUUACAAACCUUCCUAUUCUUAUCCCAAUUCAAUUUGGCUUUGCUUUGAAUAAAAUAAAACAUAAAAGAAAAUGAAAUAAAUUGGAAAAGAAAGAAAUAUCCAAAUAGCCAUCAGGCCCAGGAUCACCCGACCUUCUUCUUUUCUUUUCCUGUCUUUGACAUGGUCGUUCCCUGCUGCUGUUACCUCAUGGCCUGAGCCUCUUCUACCUGCCUCCAAUCACUUACCCCUCUCCUCAAAAUCAAGCCACCAAACCAGAGAACCCUAGCUCCCUCUUGCUGCCGCCUCCUCCCAAUCUCCCUUCUUUCUUCUUCACAACUUGAGGAGAAAUUCAGUUCGUCCGUAGCAUCAAAGAAAACCUGCCGGAAAUCGCCGUCCUUGCCGUCGUUGUUCGCCGCCGUUCGCUGCGCCGAGUGCGGGGAUGGAGCCGCCGUGGCGCCCUCUUCCUCCUCGCUGAACCGGAGCCGGAGCUGCUCUAGUACGCCGCCACCGCCAAGACGUACCUGGAGCGCCGCCGUGCACGCCGACGACCUCCGCUUCGCCCCGCCGUCGUCUCCAUCCUCCCCAACCUUCUCCCUCGACGUGCUCGUCGUGUGUGCCGCCAGAUCCUCAGCAGCGUCGAUCUUGGUCGAGUUUCACCUGGUUUCCUUCAAAGGACUGAGCCCCUCUCUUCAGUUGGCUGGCUUGUUACAUCUGCACCGAAGCUUUGCUUCUUCCCGGAUAGGAUCGCGAAGUGGUGUGGUGAGAUACGACGAGAUCUCCGGAUGUCCCUCGGCAAGCUUUAACAGGCAAGCAUUUUCCCCUAUACUUCUGCCCCUGCAGAAGUCGCUUACCUAUUUUAUUUUGCCUUCUCCCUCAUGCUAUCCUUAAGUUGCGUUCUUGUCACGUGUCCCUUCCACUUGUUACCUCAAGCAGCCUAUAUUGCCUCCACCAACCACCUAUAGCUAUUAUUUGGUUAUCGGGUCUGCCUUGCGAGUCAUAGUGCAUGCUAGUGCUGUUUUAUCUCGUUACCGUUAUCGCUAUCUUAUCGGGUUAUCUGUUGAGGAAUCAUGACACAUGGUUUAUGGAUAUAUAAUGUUGGAGAUAAUCAUGCUUUACUUAUUGUUAACAACUAAAAUGAUAAGCAGAGGCAUCUGUGAGCCCCUUUGCGAAAGCAUCGGAACUUUGACUCACUAAUGUCCCCUAGGACCCGAGUUCCUGUUAUCUGUUCCGAGACUGAGCGCUCUAACCACACGUGGGUAUGCUUCUGGGUCUCCCCUCGACCACUGCCGGAAUCUACAGCUUUGUCCAGUGGCCACAACUAGUUUGCAAUGUUUUACCAUUUGAUGUUGCGUGCAUGCCAGCCUGUUACUUAUUUACUUUGGGAAGCCCCUGGGUGCCUUGUAUCCCUUGUUUCUGGUAUGCACGUAUAGGUCGUGGAGCCUCUGCGAAGUGGUUUAUCGCCCCAGUGUGUGUUUAAACCACCUAGCACGUUGACACACAUAGCUAAGUCCGCUUCGGAGAUACGGCCGGACUUCGAUACGGGUUCAACUUGGUUAGGUGGCUUCCUGGACAUUGUUGUCGUGAAGGAGAGUGCGAGUCGUGAUAUCCACCUGUCGCAAGUGGGUUGAUCGUGCGUGUGGGCACAUUUGGGCACCCCUGCAGGGUAAAAUCUUAUCGAUAAGCCGCGUCCGCGGUUAUGGACGACUUGGAGCUGUAUGACUCGACCAUAGACAACUUACACAUGUUGCUUCAAUCAUAAUAACUGGUGUAGUAACUUAGCGCAACUCUAAUAAUAAAUGGUUAAAACCUGUCAACCGUGUGAGUGCCUUUGCCAGUACUUCUUGGCGAAGGGGGAACACAUCGGCUGUGUUAUGUUUGCAGAGUAUAGAACUGUUAGUUUAUGCGCUCUCUCACCUUCUCUGAUAGACGACUGUUGUAGAGUGUCUCUAUAGGUUUUUAGUGCUUGCGCGCUGCCGCUUAACCCCACCAUAUUGCCUAUGACGUUCCUCUUGCGUCCUCUAAGUCCCCUGCGUGCCUCAAGUACAAAGGACGACUGGUUGACGAAUGCUUAUACGUCUUGAAGUCUUGUUAAGUACGAACCCGUACUUAUUGCUGCUUCUACGGGAUAUAACCGGGCAGGUAUGAAGAUCGAUACGAUGAAGACGACGUUAGCAAGGUUACCCUUCCGGCUUGGCCUGGGCAGGGUUAUGGACGCUACUGGUUAUCUUCAGGACUCUUAGUCCAAAUUUGUAUCUUGUCCAUACUCGGACGCAUUCGAUCUUCUGUAUGAUUUGGAUCUUUGUAUUGUCUAUUUGUAUCUUGACUCGUUGGAGUCGUUGUUGUAAUAUAUAUAUGUUUCUUGUGGGCUC